AGGGCCACUGAAGGAGGAAACCAAGUCCCCUGGAGGAAUGGUCCAGGCAUGGCUGUCACCCUGAACUCCAUGGCUCCCAGGUGUGCCUCAGGAAGACACCCCUUUUUCGUACAGCUUUGUGUUUUCAUGCCGCUGUUUCAAGAUUGCUCUCCUGUCAGAAGUGUGUUGCCUCUGCCCACCCUCUGGGCUCCGGCCCCCCCUUCUUCCUCUCCUGAACCACCAUAAAGCACAGAAAAAGCAAUUGAAUUGCUUGGUGAACAACAGAAAAGGAGAAUUUAAAAGUUCAUUUGCAUGCAUAAACACAUCUAGUGGGCCAGUCUAUUCCAGAUAUGCAAGACAGAGCACCCUCUGUAGAGGUUCUUUGGACAGAGGAUUUCAUGUGCCAUCAGGAGCAUGGAUGGUAAAUGGCUCCUGUGGAUCCUGGUCAAACCUGCGCUACCAGCCUGAGCUCUGGAGAAGAUGCAGAUGUGCCCCCUGGAGGCCAUGGCUUGGGCUACCACGGAGACCUCAUUUCAAGCCCACAGGCAUGGGCAUCCAAGCUGCAUUCUCAUUGUGAACCUGCCCGUGUAGCAAGGACCCUUUCUUCUCUGGGCUAUUUUUAGAUGUAAUAUGUUACCACACUCCACUUGUCUGCUA